rnacentral:snoRNA from 1 species
AUGCACCUCUGACAGACCUGGAGCAGUUAAUACCUGCUGCUAAGAUUUCCACUACAGAUGUAAGAAAAAAGUCUUCGUGCUUUCUAUCUGUCUGGUUGUGCCAGUCACAAUUGAAUGGGGGAAUAUAGGA